rnacentral:lncRNA from 1 species
AUAUUUAAUAAAUCCAAGAGAACCAACUGAAAAAAGGAGCACUGAUAAUUCAAUAGAAUUAGAUGACUAACUGCAAAAUCACCAUAAAAAAUCCAAGUUUCUUAAAAAGAAUAAUAGAGUGAGAAUAAAGACAUUCUAUUUAAUCUUCCAUGAAAAUGUAAUAUACCUAUGAGUAAUCUUUUAAAAUGUGUGAGAUCUAUAUGAU